UGGGAGAAUGGUAUCCACUGCUACUAUGA
rnacentral:piRNA from 1 species